GUGGGGAAUCUUGCGCAAUGGGCGAAAGCCUGACGCAGCAACGCCGCGUGCGGGAUGAAGGCCUUCGGGUUGUAAACCGCUUUCAGCAGGGACGAAUCUGACUGUACCUGCAGAAGAAGCCCCGGCUAACUACGUGCCAGCAGCCGCGGUAAUACGUAGGGGGCAAGCGUUAUCCGGAUUCAUUGGGCGUAAAGCGCGCGUAGGCGGCUUGUUAAGUCAGGUGUGAAAACCGGGGGCUCAACCCGCGGCCUGCACCUGAAACUGGCAGGCUUGAGUCUGGUAGAGGGAAAUGGAAUUCCGAGUGUAGCGGUGAAAUGCGCAGAUAUUCGGAAGAACACCAGUGGCGAAGGCGGUUUCCUGGGCCACGACUGACGCUGAGGCGCGAAAGCUAGGGGAGCGAACAGGAUUAGAUACCCUAGUAGUCC
rnacentral:rRNA from 1 species